UUUCCGUAGGUGAACCUGCGGAAGGAUCAUUAUUGUAUAACCGAGGUGCGAGGGCUGUCGCUGACCCGAAAGGUCGUGCACGCCCGAGUGCCCUCACACACAUCCAUCUCACCCCUAUGUGCACCACCGCGUGGGUCCCCCUUUGGCUUGUUCGGAGGGGGGCUUACGUUUUCACACAAACUUUGUAUGCAGUGUAGAAUGUAUUUUUUGUUUUUGCGAUCACGCAAUCAAUACAACUUUCAACAACGGAUCUCUUGGCUCUCGCAUCGAUGAAGAACUCAGC
rnacentral:misc_RNA from 1 species